rnacentral:rRNA from 1 species
CGGCAACAGCUCAAAUUUGAAAUCUGGCCCUUUCAGGGCCCGAGUUGUAAUUUGGAGAAGAUGCUUCGGGUGUGGCCCCGGUCUAAGUUCCUUGGAACAGGACGUCACAGAGGGUGAGAAUCCCGUACGUGCCCGGUGGCCGCGCCCGUGUGAAGCUCUUUCGACGAGUCGAGUUGUUUGGGAAUGCAGCUCAAAAUGGGUGGUAAAUUUCAUCUAAAGCUAAAUAUUGGCCAGAGACCGAUAGCGCACAAGUAGAGUGAUCGAAAGAUGAAAAGCACUUUGGAAAGAGAGUUAAACAGUACGUGAAAUUGUUGAAAGGGAAGCGCUUGCAACCAGACUUGCGCGCGGCCGAUCAUCCGGUGUUCGCACCGGUGCACUCGACCGCGCGCAGGCCAGCAUCGGUUUGGGUGGCUGGAGAAAGGCCUCGGGAAUGUGGCUCCCUCCGGGGAGUGUUAUAGCCCGAGGCGCAAUGCAGCCUAUCCGGACCGAGGACCGCGCUUCGGCUAGGAUG